rnacentral:rRNA from 1 species
GGGGUACGUGGCGAGCGACUCUCUGGUCUGUAACUGACGCUGAGGAGCGAAAGCGUGGGGAGCGAACAGGAUUAGAUACCCUGGUAGUCCACGCCGUAAACGAUGAGUGCUAAGUGUUAGGGGGUUUCCGCCCCUUAGUGCUGCAGCUAACGCAUUAAGCACUCCGCCUGGGGAGUACGGUCGCAAGACUGAAACUCAAAGGAAUUGACGGGGGCCCGCACAAGCGGUGGAGCAUGUGGUUUAAUUCGAAGCAACGCGAAGAACCUUACCAGGUCUUGACAUCCUCUGACAACCCUAGAGAUAGGGCUUUCCCUUCGGGGACAGAGUGACAGGUGGUGCAUGGUUGUCGUCAGCUCGUGUCGUGAGAUGUUGGGUUAAGUCCCGCAACGAGCGCAACCCUUGAUCUUAGUUGCCAGCAUUCAGUUGGGCACUCUAAGGUGACUGCCGGUGACAAACCGGAGGAAGGUGGGGAUGACGUCAAAUCAUCAUGCCCCUUAUGACCUGGGCUACACACGUGCUACAAUGGACAGAACAAAGGGCUGCGAGACCGCAGGUUUAGCCAAUCCCACAAAUCUGUUCUCAGUUCGGAUCGCAUCUGCAACUCGACUGCGUGAAGCUGGAAUCGCUAGUAAUCGCGGAUCACAUGCCGCGGUGAAUACGUUCCCGGGCCUUGUACACACCGCCCGUCACACCACGAGAGUUUGCAACACCCGAAGUCGGUGAGGUAACC